CCUAAUAUCUAUCUGAGGUGCAACUUUGGUGAGAAUCUGUGAAGUAGUUUUGACGUAAUCAUUGAAAGCCUAUGUAAAGGGAAAUCUUGAUCCAGAAUCUGGAUCCAGAUCACCUCCAAAAUGUUAUGGUUUCUUCUAUGGCCUAGUAUCUAUAUGUGGUGAAAAUAUCAUCAAAAUCCGUGCAGUAGUUUUGACGUCAUCCUGCUAACACAGACAGAGAGAGACGUAAUAAAAUUUCACAUCCAUUUUUUAAUUCACUUGCAUUUUCAUCACCUCCACUGUUUUCUGUCUUGUAUUUCUCAUGUUUGUCCUCACACUCAGCAGCUGGUGUUCUUCCUGGCAGGAUUAAUUGAGUAGUUUUUAUAUGUUGGUUGACCUUUUAGUUCAGUCACAUUUAACAAAUAGAGGUGUUAAUUAAAAAUGGUCUCAGGGCUCUGAUGAGAGUUGUGUGUGUUGUGCGUGUGUGUGUGUAGUGUGCGUGU